UACGGAGGGGACUAGCGUUGUUCGGAAUUACUGGGCGUAAAGCGCACGUAGGCGGAUUUGUAAGUCAGGGGUGAAAUCCCGGGGCUCAACUCCGGAACUGCCAUUGAAACUGUUUAGCUUGAGGAUGAGAGAGGUGAGUGGAAUUCCCAGUGUAGAGGUGAAAUUCGUAGAUAUUGGGAAGAACACCGGUGGCGAAGGCGGCUCACUGGCUCAUUACUGACGCUCAGGCGCGAUAGCGUGGGGAUCAAACAGG
rnacentral:rRNA from 1 species